rnacentral:lncRNA from 1 species
ACAUAUACCCGCAAAACAAGGGUUUUUGUUUCCUAACAUCAGUUCGCCGCUUCUACCAUAACCUGAAGAAAUGUUGUCUUCUCUAAUGGUGAACCUAAGCUUCCUCUGGAAGUUGUUAUGGAUCAUCAACUCCAUGACAUGGAUUUGUGGUGAAAUAGCUCGCAUUUCAGUUAUCACGAGUACCUCAUCCUCUUCUCAAUAAAUCUUCCAACCAGAUCCAAUCCCUUAUUAAAUUUUUGCUGAUUUCCUAACCGUGCUCUCCGGUUGAUGGUAAUAUCAAGUGUUUUUGGUUCUUCAUUGAUGGGUUUGGACCCCUGAGAGUACAGCAACAUGUUGGUAAAUCUCCAUCUUUUAUUCCAUUUCUAGUUUUAUAUUCUUCAAGUCCUUGCCCUGACAAUUGUGCUUCAUCUUUUAGAUAUUACUGGGAGGGAGAAACAAGAUGCUCGGCCUCACAGGUAGUUGAAAUAUAUGUAUCUCUACUAGUGUAUUAUUAGUAGAUCUAGGAGAAACUCUCUCUUACACUGUGAGUCCUUUUUGUUGGUUGUACUUGAAUAGGCUAUGUAGCUUUGUACAACUUUGUUGACUGUAAUUUUGUACAUAUUAGUUUUUUCCAUAGUUAAGCUUUAGCCUGGUCAUCCCUGUCACCCUCUUAAUGGUGAAACUCUUAUGUAUGGACAUUGCAUCUUAUGGCUGUUUAUAAUUCUCUUGACUUUGAUUUCUAGUUUCUAAAAAUUUGUCUAACAGAAUUCUCUUUUAUCUAUUGCAUGG